CAUGGUUGCUGUUCAGGUCCAAAUAUGGGAGCAGAGAAGCCAGUGUAGGCACAUGCUGCCCUUUGCUGAGAGCUACCUGUUGCAACGUUGACGGGUUGGCCUCUGCCACAGAAAACACAAUUUGCAGCGACAGGCCAAUGACGCGCCAGAUGCAUGCGUCGUCCGCCAGACACUCCCCCUUGCGUUCCUUCUGCACUGGGACGUUCUUUAUUCUAUGACUGGGACAAGACAACGCUGCACUAAUGGAGCAUGGCAAGCUGAUGCCGUUCGAUGGCGCUUCAUACGGAAUUACUGCUUACCUGGGGUCACAACGUUGGAUGAACGCACAAAAAGCGAGGAACGAUCGAGCUUUUA